rnacentral:rRNA from 1 species
ACCGCAAUGGGCGAAAGCCUGACGGAGCAACGCCGCGUGAGUGAUGAAGGUCUUCGGAUCGUAAAACUCUGUUAUUAGGGAAGAACAUAUGUGUAAGUAACUGUGCACAUCUUGACGGUACCUAAUCAGAAAGCCACGGCUAACUACGUGCCAGCAGCCGCGGUAAUACGUAGGUGGCAAGCGUUAUCCGRKAUUAUUGGGCGUAAAGCGCGCGUAGGCGGUUUUUUAAGUCUGAUGUGAAAGCCCACGGCUCAACCGUGGAGGGUCAUUGGAAACUGGAAAACUUGAGUGCAGAAGAGGAAAGUGGAAUUCCAUGUGUAGCGGUGAAAUGCGCAGAGAUAUGGAGGAACACCAGUGGCGAAGGCGACUUUCUGGUCUGUAACUGACGCUGAUGUGCGAAAGCGUGGGGAUCAAACAGGAUUAGAUACCC